GACGUAGGGCGCGAGCGUUGUCCGGAUUUAUUGGGCGUAAAGAGCUCGUAGGCGGCUUGUCGCGUCGGCCGUGAAAAACCUGCAGCUUAACUGUGGGCGUGCGGUCGAUACGGGGCAUCACUGGAGUUCGGCAGGGGGAGACUGGAAUUCCUGGUGUAGCGGUGAAAAUGCGCAGAUAUCAGGGAGGGAAACACCCGGGUGGGCGAAAGGGCGGGGGUCUCUUGGG
rnacentral:rRNA from 1 species